UGCCUUUCUAGUAUAAGCAAUACAAGUGACUUCCAAUUACUAAAUCCUACGCCACCACCUAGGGAAAAGCA
rnacentral:tRNA from 1 species